rnacentral:lncRNA from 1 species
UUUUUGGCACACGGAGGCCGCCCGCAAAGUCUGGGGCCAUUCCGAGUCCGGCGGACGAACUUCGCCCACGCCCCCCACCAAGGCUAUAGCCCACCCGUUUUUUGGCCAUUUUUCCGCUGGGGGGUGUUGGCGCCCCGACCUUCGGGCGCUCAUUUUUGGGCGCGGCUGUGCCCGUGGCCUAUUUUUGGCACACGAAGGUCGCCCGUAAAGUCUGGGGCCAUUCCGAGUCCGGCGGACGAACUUCGCCCACGCCCCCCACCAAGGCUAUACGCCACCCGUUUUUCGGCCAAUUUUCCGCUGGGGGGUGUUGGCGCCCCGACCUUCGGGCGCUCAUUUUUGGACGCGGCUGUGCCCGUGGCCUAUUUUUGGCACACGGAGGCCGCCCGCAAAGUCUGGGGCCAUUCCGAGUCCGGCGGACGAACUUCGCCCACGCCCCCCGCCAAGGCUAUAGCCCACCCGUUUUUUGGCCAUUUUUCCGCUGGGGGGUGUUGGCGCCCCGACUUUAGGGCGCUCAUUUUUGGGCGCGGCUGUGCCCGGGGCCUAUUU